UGUGUGUGUGUGUGUGUGUGUGUGUGUGUGUGCUCACGCAUGCUCUCUCUCUUUCUCUCUCUCUCUCUCUCACACACACAUACACACACACACACACAACACACA
rnacentral:pre_miRNA from 1 species